AAAUAUGGUCCAGUGACCUUGCAGCUGGAAAUAACCCUUGAUAAAUCUGUGUGAAGAGCAGACUGGUGAUUCUCUAGCAAGGACCAAGUUUAAUGGUGUCUGCGUCUCUGCUUGUGCAUCCCUUCCCGACUGCUGCUUCGGGGAUCCCCCAGUUAUCAAGUGCUGGUCAGCAGUGAUGAUCAAAGCUGAAGUUGUACCUUACAGAAGUCAACUGAACUGGUGCAAUGUAGGGACAGGACCUGCAUCUGUGGAGGUAGUACCAGAUUGCAGAGACCAGAGCACUUCCAAGUUUCUACUUCAUCAGCUGUGACAGCACUGACUCCAACAGCCACCAGGUUUCUCCGUGUGCAGCAACCCCACAACAGAUAAUUCUGAUUGUUUGGAAUCCACUGUUUACCUUGCAGACUUCAUUGCUCCCUCUUUGCUUCCUUCUGGCUCUAACAUGAGCCAAUAACUUCCUCUACAGAAAUAAUUUCAGAAGUCUUGCCAGAAUAUGAUCAGGAUUUGUAAAAAUACUGCAGUCUUUGUAUUCCAGUUUCACUUUCUUUCAUUUCAUCUAUAGUUCCAGGGUUUUCUGCCAGGUCAUGUUUUGCUUGCACUUCUGCAGCGAGAAUAAUAUCUGUUCAAAAGCAUAAAGUUGGCAAAUUUGCAAAGAUGUACACUGAGAAAUUUGACAAAAUUAGGGUGGUGUUCCUGCUCCUGGUAGAGAUAUAUUUGCAUUGUGAGGACUUGCUGGUGAAGAUCACCUAUUAAUUAAGCUAAAUUCAAAACUCUUGCUUGGUGAAUAAGAUAGAUGGACAAUCUUUAACACAAAGCUCUUGUUCAUGGAAGCCGCUGCCUACAAGCAUCCCUGAGACCACUCAUUCAGAAAGGUGUCUCAGUAAAAAAAGUCUGCGAGACAGUUGUCAAGACUCUUUUGUAGCCUGCAGAAAGUAAAUGGCACUUUUAAGGCAUGUUUCAUCCCACUCAAUGUUCACAGUAGGUCAGAUUAUUGUCAUAGAAGCAGUUUUUCUACAGCAACUGUAAAGUGAGUUGAGGCAGUAACUAAGACCAAGAGAAUGGUUUUUCUUCAUAGAUCAAGGUCUAUUACAGUGUCACUCUACAAAUGACCAGUAAUGGAUUUAACUAUAGGGAACAGAUCAGGGAAACAGUGUUGGCUACUAGAGAAAGUCUGUUUUUAUCAUGAUAUGAAGUAUGUUUUUAAGGACACAAACAAGACCUGGCAGUGUGGACAGGAUUGGAUAAUGAUAACGUCUUCAUUUUAUGAUGUGACAGCACACAUGGCCACACAUUUUUGGUAAGUUACCUUUGUUCUAAUAAUCCAUGUUGUCCAUACUUAACAUACUGUAUCUAACUUUACUGUUGUCUGGUACACAGAAGAGUCCACAAAUUUAGAAAGUCAUAUCUUAUCUUCUAAACCGUUAACAACCUUUAUUACAGACAAAAAAUAUUUCCUUCAAAAUUUCAUGUUCUGAGGCCGUCCUGACUUAAAAAUAAAACAAAGAACAGCCAAUGAAAUUCAUCUGUCCUGGUUGUCACAGGGAUAGAGUUCAUUUUCUUCCUAGUAGCAGGUAUGGUUGAAUUCAGUGUGAGAAUAAUGUUGUUAACACACUGAUGGUUUGGCUGUUGCUAAGCAGUGCUUACCCUGAGUCAAGCACUGUGCAGGGUCUCAUGCUCUGCCAGUGAAUAGAUGCAUAAGAAGCUGCUAGGGACCACACAGGACAGGCGACCUGAACUGGCCAAAGGGAUGUUCCACACCAUAGAAAGUCAUGCCCGGUAUAUAAACUGGGGAGAGCUGGCCAGGAGAGACUGAUUGUUACUUGGCCAACAGGUGGUGAUCAGUUGUAUUUUGCAUCACUUGUCUUUCUUAGACUUUAUUCCUGUCUUUUUUUGUUAUCUCCCUCUUCAUCAUUUAGGAAUUUAGUGACUUGUUUGGUCUUUUUUUUAACAGCAUUUCCAUUACUAGAUUGGUGACCAAACUCACAGAUUUUACUUUUUUCUAAUUCUCCUUCCCAUUCCACUGUGGGGGGAAGGAAUGAGCCACUGCCUAGUACUGAAUUGCCAGGUGGGGUUAAAACCAUGACAGUGUCAUCCUAGAAGACACAGGCUUUGCAUCACAAAUGCCAAAGUAUCACAAGCAACUGCAUUAAAUUAUGCUAUAUGACAAAAAGAUCCAGAAGUUUUUUGCACAGAAAUGUAGCACUUUCCAACCUCCAGUGCCAUGCAUUGCUUAUCUGUUCCUUUGUCUAAAAGGAAAAAAAAUUCCGUAUCUUCUUUAGGGCUUCAUUAACAAAACUAAAAAUAACUAGAAUUGUUUACUCAAAGAAAAAAAAGAAAAGACUUAUGGGCAUAAAAUAAAAGAUCAAUCUUGAGAAAGAAAACAUCAUUUUUUGUUAACUCCUCAAACUAUACAGAACCAGAAAUUGACUAGAAUGAAAAACUGAGUAGAAUCAAAAACUGAGUAGAAAUAUCUCACAAUAUUCAAUGGAAAUAUUUUAAAAGAAAGAACAACCCCUCCUGAUUUGAAGACUAUGAUCAGAACUGCUUUUGAGUUUUCAGUUGUCCAUCAACCUUUAGUUCAGUUCCUCAGUGCACAGCAUAGGAAGCACUAGCUGUCUGUGUUGUUUUUUUCUGAGUCAGAGGAACUUAGACCAUACUGAAAAAAAUGAAAACCUGGUAGCAAUUAGCAACUGAUAUACUGAUGGCCCAACUCCAGAAAAGACUAUCAUGUGAUCUUCUCUCAUGCAACAGUAGAGCAACUGUUAUAACUGCUGUAACCUCUCUAUAUCCCCUUCUCCAGAGAUAAUUAAUGAUGACACAAAAAAGAUUAUGAGCCUACCCAGGCAACCCUGAGGUUUGACUUUGCAGGUUGCCUACACGUAAUUUAAGGAAGGUUUAGCUGCUCAGCAAAAAUGUUGAGACAGGUGACAGCUUAAGGCAGAGGAAGGACAGCUCUAAAACGUCAAAGUCUCUCUGACACGCAUGAUGCUCUUUGAUUCCAGCACAACUUACUGGUAGCACUGCAUGGGCCAUCUGUAGAUCAGGAAGGUGGAAAACCCUCCAAAUUUUGUAAGGUGCAGAUAAUAAACAGAAGUAGCUGACAUCUAAAUUUAAUACAGUUGCUUUCUCACAUGCAUUGCAACUACAAUACAACUCUUAACUAAAGAACUCACUUAAGAGGUCACAGUAACAGAGAGUUUAGAAAAGGAUAAAAAUUGCUUCAGCGAUAGUAUCAAUCAUAAACUUUUGGCAAAGGUUUCAGCACAAGAUCUCUGUGACUUAAGAAAUAGAACUGUAUUACAAUAAUGUCUUUGACAACUCUACAACUGUGUUGAAAGGCAAAUUUAAGGGAGAAAAAUUAUUUUGUAAGGGCUGGAUCCAGAUGGUCAGGCAGAGGACACUAGAGAAAAUAAUCAGUCUGGAGGGUCUCCCAGUUGCACUCCAUCUGUCAGACAGAUCACAACCUCAGAUAUUAAGAAGAAAAGAAGGGUGGUUUUAGUAGGCGAGUCCCUUCUGAGGGGAAUUGAGGGCCCUGUAUGUCAACUGACCCAUCCCAGGAAAGUCUGCUGCCUCCAUGUGGUCUGAGUAUGGGAUAUUACCAGGAGACUCGCUGAACUAAUUCAGCCUUGUGAUUAUUAUGACCCACUGCUGGUCAUCAAGGCUGGCAGUGAUGAGGUUGAUAAGGAGAGUAAUUAAAAUGGGCUUCAAGGCUCCAAGUUGGUUCAUUGAUGGGACAAGAGCACAGGUGGUGUUCUGCUCAAUUCCUUCAGUUCAGGGAUGAAAGACAAAAUGAACAGGAAAACCCAUAUUAUCAAUAAGUGGCUUGAGGACUGAUGCCAUCAGCAGAAUUUUGUUUUUUCCCCUGUAGUCGGCACUUCCCACUGGUGAGGCCACACAUUGAGUUCUGUGUCCAUUUCUGGGCCCCCAACUCAGGAGGAACACUGAUGUGCUGGAGUGAGCCCAGAGAAGGGCAACAAGGCUGGUGAGGCGUCUGAAGCACAAGUCCUGUGACGAGCAGCUGAGGCAA